rnacentral:misc_RNA from 1 species
GAUGAAGAACGCAGCAAAAUGCGAUAAGUAAUGUGAAUUGCAGAAUUCAGUGAAUCAUCGAAUCUUUGAACGCACAUUGCGCCCCUCGGUAUUCCGAGGGGCAUGCCUGUUCGAGCGUCAUUAUAACCCUUCAAGCUCAGCUUGGUGUUGGGGCCUGCUGUAACUGGUAGCCCUUAAAAUCAGUGGCAGUGCUAUUAGGCUCUAAGCGUAGUAAUUCUUCUCGCUAUAGUGUGUAGUGAGCGCUUGCCAGAACCCCAAACUUUUAUAUGAUUGACCUCGGAUCAGGUAGGGAUACCCGCUGAACUUAAGCAUAUCAAUAAGCGGAGGA